AAAAGGUGUAGUUUUACAUGAUUCAUAUUCAACGUUUGAACAUCCAUCUUAUUUGAAAAAAAAUUGAUUAGUAUUUUUAUAUUGUUAUUAGAUGAUAAAACAUAAGUAGUAUUUUAUAUGUAAAUAUUUUUUUUAUUUCUUUCAUAAAGUUUUUAAAUAAAAUGAUGGUGAAACGUUGGUCAUUUAAAUCCACAACUGCACUUAAA
rnacentral:pre_miRNA from 1 species